rnacentral:pre_miRNA from 1 species
AGGUUAUCCGUGUUCUGUUCGUGUCAUUCGUCAUGAAUAAUACAUGGAUAACCUCU